GUUUAUGUUUACACUUUCAGGCGACCAAGAUCCAACGAAAAUCAUUCUUGUUCGAUGAACCAGGCUUUAGGUCACACUCCGGUGAGAACUCCAGUAGGUUCCGGCAACCUACGAUUUGGUAGAAUGGUAGAUGAAAAUUGAAGAUUUGGAGCCUAGCCUUUAGAUACAACAAUAAUGCGAAAAGCAAAGAACGAACAUUGAAAGGUCAUGAAGGCCGCUACAUAGGUAAAGGCGUCGUAUAGGUUAGGGCGGCAACUGGCAACGGCAUACCGGGAAGACAAACAGACGCAGACGCUGCAUCAUCUUCUUCAACGUGGACCUCGACAG